rnacentral:rRNA from 1 species
UACAGAGGCCCCAAGCGUUACUGAGAAUCACUGGGUUUAAAGGGUGCGUAGGUGGUCCGUUAAGUCUGUUGUGAAAGCCCUUGGCUCAACCAAGGAAUUGCUUCGGAUACUGGCGGACUUGAGGCUAGUAGAGGUCACUGGAACUGACGGUGGAGCGGUGAAAUGCGUAGAUAUCGUCAGGAACGCCGGUGGUGGAGACGGGUGACUGGGCUAGUUCUGACACUGAGGCACGAAAGCGUGGGGAGCGAACGGG